rnacentral:rRNA from 1 species
GUGCCAGCCGCCGCGGUAAUACGUAGGUGGCAAGCGUUAUCCGGAAUUAUUGGGCGUAAAGCGCGCGUAGGCGGUUUUUUAAGUCUGAUGUGAAAGCCCACGGCUCAACCGUGGAGGGUCAUUGGAAACUGGAAAACUUGAGUGCAGAAGAGGAAAGUGGAAUUCCAUGUGUAGCGGUGAAAUGCGCAGAGAUAUGGAGGAACACCAGUGGCGAAGGCGACUUUCUGGUCUGAACUGACGCUGAUGUGCGAAAGCGUGGGGAUCAAA